CUCAAGGGGAAUGAACUUUUGUGUGACAACUCUCCUCAUAGCAAGGCUGCAAACAGGAUAGAGACUAGACUUUAGCAGAUAUUGAAGUCUGAAGUUCAGAAGUGAAUUCAUGUACACCAGAUUUAAACAUCCAACACUGGGGGACUGUUCUCCCUAGCAAGGAACAGCAAUGCUCUGAUUUCACACAUGACACUCACUGUCAUGCAGACCUGGAAAGAUAUCUCUGAAUCUCUGGAUCACCAGAUGCUACAUAGGUACAUCUGUACCAUAAAGGCAACAAGCACAGUUUUGCCUGUGAAGAAAGAGAUCUGCAUAAGGCCUUGCUGUCUGCUUGAUACAGACACCAGAAUUUCUAAUGCGUUUUGCAGU